UGAGGAAUAUUGGUCAAUGGGCGCAAGCCUGAACCAGCCAUCCCGCGUGCAGGAUGACGGCCCUAUGGGUUGUAAACUGCUUUUAUACAGGAGGAAAAAUCUCCACGUGUGGGGACUUGCCGGUACUGUAUGAAUAAGCAUCGGCUAACUCCGUGCCAGCAGCCGCGGUAAUACGGAGGAUGCAAGCGUUAUCCGGAUUCAUUGGGUUUAAAGGGUGCGUAGGCGGCUCUUUAAGUCAGUGGUGAAAUCCUGUCGCUCAACGAUAGAAUUGCCAUUGAUACUGAAGAGCUUGAGUUCAGUUGAGGUAAGCGGAAUGUGUAGUGUAGCGGUGAAAUGCUUAGAUAUUACACAGAACACCGAUUGCGAAGGCAGCUUACUAAACUGACACUGACGCUGAUGCACGAAAGCGUGGGGAUCGAACA
rnacentral:rRNA from 1 species